UGUGGUUUAAUUCGAUGCAACGCGAAAACCUUACCACCUUGACAUGUACGGAAUCCUUAGAGAUAGAGGAGUGCUCGAAAGAGAGCCGUAACACAGGUGCUGCAUGGCUGUCGUCAGCUCGUGUCGUGAGAUGUUGGGUUAAGUCCCGCAACGAGCGCAACCCUUGUCAUUAGUUGCUACAUUCAGUUGGGCACUCUAAUGAGACUGCCGGUGACAAGCCGGAGGAAAGGUGGGGAUGACGUCAAGUCCUCAUGGCCCUUAUAGGUGGGGCUACACACGUCAUACAAUGGCCGGUACAGAGGGUAGCCAACCCGCGAGGGGGGAGCCAAUCCCACAAAGCCGGUCGUAGUCCGGAUCGCAGUCUGCAACUCGACUGCGUGAAGUCGGAAUCGCUAGUAAUCGCGGAUCAGCAUGUCGCGGUGAAUACGUUCCCGGGUCUU
rnacentral:rRNA from 1 species